CCGAAAAUAGUUAAGCUUAACUUCUCUUAACUUUUCCCAUUCAUUCUCUAUGGUAGUGCUUAACACUACGGAUGCGAUAUAUUUGUGGCCACACGUAGAUUUCCCGGCGCUGUUUCGCCUCUUCCGUGGCGCGGAAUUCAAACAGCGGAUACUCAUCUGUCAAUCAUUCGCUCUGAAGGAGAGGAGACGCGUUUUACGAUCGGAGAUUUCUUCACGAAAUUGUUUUGUUUGAACAACAUACGCUGCCAAACUCCCAGCAAGCAGGAAUGUUUAGAUGAUGCGUGCUCUGUCAAGACACCCUCCUCCACAGAGUAGGUCACCCUAAAGACGGUCUCACUCUCAGUCCACCAAAACAUCACACCAGACACUUUGACAGCGGAGGAUCAAAGGUCAGAAGGGUUUCUUCCAGAUGCAGAACACCACACCAUCGGCCAUAACAGCAUCCC